rnacentral:rRNA from 1 species
GACGAACGCUGGCGGCGCGCCUAACACAUGCAAGUCGAGCGAGCGAGCCGAGCUUUACUUUCUCAAGCGAGUGGCGAACGGGUGAGUAACGCGUGAGGAACCUGCCUCAAAGAGGGGGACAACAGUUGGAAACGACUGCUAAUACCGCAUAAGCCCACGACCCGGCAUCGGGUAGAGGGAAAAGGGGCAAUCCGCUUUGAGAUGGCCUCGCGUCCGAGUAGCUAGGUGGUGAGGUAAUGGCCCACCAAGGCGACGAUCGGUAGCCGGACUGAGAGGUUGAACCGCCACAUUGGGACUGAGACACGGCCCAGACUCCUACGGGAGGCAGCAGUGGGGAAUAUUGCACAAUGGGGGAGACCCUGAGGCAGCGACGCCGCGUGGAGGAAGAAGGUCUUCGGAUUGUGCAGUCCUGUUGUUGGGGCAGAUAAUGACGGUACUCAACAAGGAAGCAACGGCUAACUACGUG